UCCGAUCCGAAUUAUUUAUUUUCCACUUUUGUAUGGAAACGAGUAUUUUACAAUAGAAUUGAAGAGAAUGAUAAGCUUUACAAAUUUUCUUAUCCAUUGAUAUCGGCGAAAGGAUCAAAAGUGCUGCGCCUUUUCGGCCUGGUAAGAAUGUGUAAGAGCAGGCCAGGGCAGCAGCGAAAAGGAAACGUCAAAAUGCCAACUGGAUUAGUAGCCGAGCCGAAUCCGAUGAUGACCCAAGCCACCAGUCCACCUCACCCCACCCUCACGCGCUUUCUCACAUCCCGGCGACCCACCCUCUUUCUAUUAUUCCCUUUCCCUACUCUCGUGCCCCUCUCAUCUGUCCGGCGCGUCAUCGCCGAACCGAACCCAAACUCUCUUUUUUCUUUUAAGCCUUCUUUCCCAAUCAAUAACGUAACCUCCCCUUAACGCCCUGAGCAAAAGCCAACCGACCCUUGUUUGUCUUCCCGAACCACCGAAAUGGGCGAACUUCUGGAUUCGCUCACGCCGUCAACUCUGCCCACCGCUGUCUCUACCACUCCCCACUCCCGUCCGUUACCUGUCCGUGAAGAUUGUUGGUCGGAGGAAGCUACCUCUACCCUCGUCGACGCUUGGGGUCGCCGUUAUCUCGAGCUUAACCGUGGGAACCUACGUCAGAAGGACUGGCAAGAUGUUGCUGAUGCUGUUAACGCCCUCCACGGUCAUACUAAAAAGACGCACCGUACGGAUAUCCAGUGCAAGAACCGGAUUGAUACCAUCAAGAAAAAGUACAAGAUCGAGAAAACUCGUGUGACCUCCUCUAACGGAACCCUAACGUCGUCAUGGCCUUUCUUCGAACGCUUGGAUUCGCUUAUCGGAUCCAAUUUCGCCGCUAAAAAGCUUUCGCCGUCACCUAAGAUAUCACCGAAACCUUCGCCGAGGUUGUCACCGAGGAUCCCCGGAUCUCCUCCCUUGGCUCUCCCGCUUCCGCUGACGUACAGGAGGACUCCGGCGUCGGCCACGGUUGUCGCGCUUCCCCAGAAGAGGCCAGCGGAGGACGAUGGAUAUUUCAGGAGAAAUUAUUCGGCCGUCGCUGCCGCUGCCGCUGCUGCUGCGGAAAGUGAUGAGGAGGAAGGAGAGGAAAGCGAGGGAGAGGAAAGUGAAGGAGAGGAAGAGGAGAGGGAAGGGAUGAAGAGAUUGGCGAGAGCCAUAGAUAGGUUUGGGCAAGUAUAUGUAAGUGUCGAAGGGGAGAAGCUGAGACAGAUGGUGGAAUUGGAGAAGCAAAGAAUGCAAUUUGCUAAAGAUUUGGAAGUGCAGAGGAUGAGGAUGUUUAUGGAUACGCAGGUGCAGCUCGAGAGGAUCAAGCGUGGCAAACGAUCCUCGGGGUCUAGUGGUGAGGCCUAUUCUUCCUCAUAAAAGAACUGUCUUUAGUUUUAUAUAUUAUUGUAUUUGUUAUUUGAUUGAUGAUAAUGCAUAUUUUCACGUUUUGGGUUCAUUUAUGUUUAUGCUUUAUGUUUAUUGUUGGAUUUUAAACACAUAAUUUUUCUUGAUUAGUUGUUUUAGUGUGGCUUGGAAAUGAGAUGGGAAUGAAAUAGAAAAGGGUCUUAAUUUGUUGAAUUUUUUUUUUGUUAAUGUUGAUUCUUAUGGGUUUUUAUCGAGGAAUUGAGUGAGGCUACCCCCAUUGUGUUUGUAGAGUCUUUAUUAAGCUUCUAGCAUGAGAAACUUGAAGAUUUUCAGAGUAGUAUUCUGGUUUGUGGUGAUUGAAAUCAGUAAAAAGUGUUUUUAGGAUGAUCUUUGAAUGACUUUAUGAUUUGUUAAUACAAAUGGGUGAAAUGUUCAUUCAUGGAUGAGUGUUUUGGCUCUGUUUUGUGGUAUAUUUGUACAAUAAACAAUGACAGUUAAUUCUUCAAUGAUGCUGGUAUGCUUUUCUUCUUCAAAGGGCAUGACCUUGCCGUUCUUUUUUUUCAAUGCUUAUUGCUGAAGUGCUCUAUUGGAAGUGGUUCAUUAUUUUCUGGUGAAUGCUUUCUUCAAAUUAUAUGACUAUAGAUUGUGUCUGAUGCGUAGUCUAUUACUAUCUUAGAUGUGUUUGAUGUAGAACCUUGCAUGAAUCCCUAGGUUUCCUUCAUGUAUUUGAUACAAUAUGCAUUAAGUGAAAAUUGCAUUGGUUGAUAUUGGUGUCAGUUUGGCAUUUGUUUUUCUUACUUUACAUAUGUUGUUGACUGUUUAUGUAAUAAUGGUAGGGAACAGGUAUUUAUGUUUUACAAGUUGAAAGAAUAAGGCGUUAAAUUUAGGCUGUUGUCUUUUUAAGAUAUGUCCAACUCACCAUCUUUAUGCUUAGUUCUGUCAGUGUGCUUCUCUUAGAUUUAUUGGUUGACUUGUAUUUCAACAUGUUUUCUAAAAGAAAAGAAUAUAACCUUGACCUCCACUAUUGCUUUUGAAAUACUAUGCUUCAAUGUGCUCUGGUGGCUAUUUAAUGUGAGAAGAUAAUGUGCCAGGUGAUUAAGGUCAAAGUUUGGAGGUACUUUUGAUGUUGGAAUUGACUGACUUGCCUGAAGUGACAAAAGAAACUCUGUUGAUAUUUUAAUUGAGACAGCUGAUAACAAGCAUGCAGGCUGGUUAUCAAAAGUAGACUUGCCUAACAUUCUAUACUACUCAGAUUAGGUUGGGAGGUUGGUUUUAUUUGACAUUUAUAGCUAGCCAUCUGGGGAAGAGUUUCGACCCUUUUUUUGCGUGAGAAACAUGAAGAAUAUUGAUUUUUUCACUCAUCACUUGAAAGUAUAUAUAGUUUCUAGCUGAUACUGGCCUUAGUACUCAGAAGAUAAUCGGCAGUUGGCAGAUAAGGUUGCCAGAGUCUUUUAAAGUUUCUUUGUUUUACCUUUUCCCCUUUCAUUUUUGGCGGGCCAUAAAAAAAAACGCGAACUCAUUGUAAUUUAAUUUGGGAUGUUGGAACUGGGCCUACAUUUGGUCCACCGUCUUUUGUUCUAGUUGCUGAGUCUCUAACUUGUUAACUUUUGUAAGUCUUGUGAUGUUUCUUGCAAUGUACAAGAUUAGGUUGUCUUCAGAAACUCAUAGUGUUCACUAUCCCAGGCAAAGCUUUGCUGAACUAAAUCUUUGGUCUCCCAUUUCAAUUGAAUUAGGCGAAAACCCUGACGUUGAUAACAGCAAUCGCCAUUUGUAAGAAACUACUAAUUAUUUAUCACGUCAUUGAGACAUCAUUGAGAGUCACUUGUAUUUACCGUCAUAUUUUCGAAUGCAACUGAUUCAACAACACCUCCUUAAGCAUAUUAGCUUAAUCAAUAGUUGACAUUAGACUCUUCAUAUCAAGCAAAUUCCUUCCAAUCACUAAGAAUAACUCAUCAGUCAUCAGACCAUUCGAGCUAAAAGAAAAAAGGAAAAAAAAAAAAAACCGUAGCUGGAGUAUAUCAACAUAUUGGUUGAGGUCAUCGGGAAAUUACGCUUUUGCUUUUUAGAAAUGAGGCUCUAUUUUGGGGUGAAAGAAAAA